AGGAGAGUGGAGCGAGGGGAGAAAUGCACACCCAACAGAUGGAAACGCAGAUGAACAUACUGGCGGAGUUUAUUGGCCCAGAGUUAAAACAAUACUUUGACAGAGGCAAGGUCAAAGCUAACUGGUAGAGUUUCUAGAACAUAACAAUGGAUCAGAAACGUUACAGAAUGCUCCGGUUAUAAUUAACUUCGGCUGUGUACUUAACCGUUACCGUUCUGAACGGCCUUGGCCCCGAGUUGCUCCCGUGGCCAUCCUAACUCUCCGUUAAUGUUACUAAAUUACUCAGUUGUCACUGUCCACAGUGAAGGAGCAGCAAGGGCUCGGGCUGGCAGGGUCGUUGUCCCUGAAGCCCUGCGCUUCCUUUCCCCAGCUGUAACGGACUCAAGUAAAGAGUCUUCAGCUCUGGGUCUUGAAAGCCCUUAGAUCACGAUAAUGAAAUUUCAGCCAAGCAAUCUCGCAAAUGGAAGCGCUGUGAACUGCUUGUAAGUGCUCUCUGCGUAUUUCCUGAAGCUGACUCAAGGUUGUUACCAUGAUUUAUAUUCCUCCGUCCCUAACGUCUUAUAUGUACUUGCAGUUUUCCAUGCUCAGCUGCUGAAAUGUGUCCUUAAAGCUUACAAGCAUAAAGCUUGAGGUGAUACAAUCCAUUUGAUGGCCUGACCCUCAGUCUUUGCCCUUUUGCAGAAUCUAAGCAUUUGCUUGUGGCCUUUAUCUUCACUCUGGAAGCUUGAGAAAACUGCACAGCGAACAGAGUCACUACACAGCUAGCCCCAGUUGUUCAUGCACAUUACAGAGAGUCACCAAAAAUCUAGGUGGCUUCUUCCACAGGCAAGACAAUGACGUAACAGCUGUCAGAUUGCCCCUUCUGCCAGAGUGAACCCAACCCAAAGAAACAGAAAGCAGAGACAGCGAUGAAAGAAUGGCAUUUACACCUUCAGCAUGGGGAGCACGAGGCAGCAAUUCCUGAGCACAGAGGAAAAUGGGAGAUGUGUUACCCAGGGUCCAGCUUGCAGGGAUUAGCAGUGUUUGCAGUGUACAUGCACAAGACUAAAAAAAGAAUGAUCACACCAAGCUAUGAUGGUAAUAAGAAGUGUCAAAGUAUGUUCAAGACUUUUAUGUCAGAAAAUGGAAAAAAAA
rnacentral:sRNA from 1 species